rnacentral:rRNA from 1 species
UUUAGUGGCGGACGGGUGAGUAACACGUGGGUAACCUGCCCGGAAGUGGGGAAUACCUCGGGGAAACUCGAGCUAAUACCGCAUAACAUCUUCGGGACGAAAGUCCUGACGAUCAAAGCGGGGUCGCAAGAUCUCGCGCUACCGGAUGGGCCCGCGCCCGAUUAGCUAGUUGGUGGGGUAACGGCUCACCAAGGCUUCGAUCGGUAACCGGCCUGAGAGGGCGAUCGGUCACACCGGAACUGAGACACGGUCCGG